rnacentral:rRNA from 1 species
UACGGAGGGUGCAAGCGUUAUCCGGAUUCACUGGGUUUAAAGGGUGCGUAGGUGGGCCUGUAAGUCAGUGGUGAAAUCUUCAAGCUUAACUUGGAAACUGCCAUUGAUACUAUAGGUCUUGAAUUAUCUGGAGGUAAGCGGAAUAUGUCAUGUAGCGGUGAAAUGCUUAGAGAUGACAUAGAACACCCAUUGCGAAGGCAGCUUACUACGGAUUGAUUGACACUGAGGCACGAAAGCGUGGGGAUCAAACAGG